rnacentral:rRNA from 1 species
ACGGGGGUGGCAAGCAUUGUCAGGAAUUACUAGGCGUAAAGGGCAGGUAGGCGGAUCAGUAAGUCGGACGUUUAAUCCUCGGUCUUAAGCUGAGACAUGCGUUUGAUACUGUUGAUCUAGAAUGCGGCGGGGGAAAACGGAAAUCCCGGGGUAGCGGUUGAAUCCGCAGAUUUUCGGAAGAACACCGAAGGUGAAGGCAGUUUUCCCUACCGUAAUUGACGUUGAACUGCGAAGGUGUGGGGAUCAAACAG